UCUAGAAAAUUAUUAGCGAAACGCUACAUACUGUGUGGGUGUUAUAUCAGAGUUUUGCAUCUGAUCUUUGACCUGUGAGCUUCAGACUCUUUGAUGUUGCGAAGGGUUUAUUGUGACAGCAGCCUGCAGACACAGAGGACUGUUGACGGAGAAGAAGCAGAGGAUUUUCUCUGUUUCUACACAGACCUGGUCCAGACAGCAGAGAGCUGCAGAGUGAAGACGUUCAUGGGAAGAAGCUGAGUGAAGGUAGAAAGUGUGUGAGAGCUGAAUUGAGCAGCAUGGAUCAGUGUGAGGACAGAGAGGAGGGAGUCCCUCCCUCUAAAAGCACUCUGUGUGGGGAACAUGAGAGCCAGACCAAAGCUCAGAGGAACCAACCUGGGCCUGAACUGUGGCAGGAGUCUAAAGAAGACCUCUUUGAUUUAAAAGUCGAGCCUGUGUCUGCUGCAGAGAGGAUCCAUGGGAGACCUGCUGGACCUGAACCUGGACGCAACUGUAUGUCUGUCAUGUCCCCCAGAUUACCUUACGUCUUUAGAAGAAAUGCGGUCUCUGAACUAAGGAGGUGAGCUGUUAGUAACAUGAACUCUUUGAUUUAACUGUUUAAUGUUGUUGGAUAUAAACUGCAGUGCAAACAUGCCAUUUUCUUUAAUCCCAUUUUAACUGUCUCUUAAAAACAAGCCUUUGGU
rnacentral:lncRNA from 1 species